UACGAAUUGUGCGAACGUUAUUCGGAAUCACUGGGCUUAAAGGGUGUGUAGGCGGCCAUGAAGGUCUGAUGUGAAAUCCCACGGCUCAACCGUGGAAUUGCGUUGGAAACCACAUGGCUUGAGUAGGACAGAGGUGAGCGGAACUGAUGGUGGAGCGGUGAAAUGCGUUGAUAUCAUCAGGAACACCGGUGGCGAAAGCGGCUCACUGGGUCCUAACUGACGCUGAGACACGAAAGCCAGGGGAGCAAACGGG
rnacentral:rRNA from 1 species